rnacentral:lncRNA from 1 species
AAGAAGUUUCUGCAUUUUUUCGAAAUGUUCAAGAGAUCAGAGCCGAAGAGCUCUUGCCAACGGAAGUAAUGGACAAGCUAAG